rnacentral:rRNA from 1 species
GAUGAACGCUGGCGGCGUGCCUAAUACAUGCAAGUCGAGCGAAUGGAUUAAGAGCUUGCUCUUAUGAAGUUAGCGGCGGACGGGUGAGUAACACGUGGGUAACCUGCCCAUAAGACUGGGAUAACUCCGGGAAACCGGGGCUAAUACCGGAUAACAUUUUGAACCGCAUGGUUCGAAAUUGACAGGCGGCUUCGGCCGUCACUUAGGGAUGGACCCGCGUCGCAUUAGCUAGUUGGUGAGGUAACGGCUCACCAAGGCAACGAUGCGUAGCCGACCUGAGAGGGUGAUCGGCCACACUGGGACUGAGACACGGCCCAGACUCCUACGGGAGGCAGCAGUAGGGAAUCUUCCGCAAUGGACGAAAGUCUGACGGAGCAACGCCGCGUGAGUGAUGAAGGCUUUCGGGUCGUAAAACUCUGUUGUUAGGGAAGAACAAGUGCUAGUUGAAUAAGCUGGCACCUUGACGGUACCUAACCAGAAAGCCACGGCUAACUACGUGCCAGCCGCCGCCGUAA